UGGGGAAUCUUGGACAAUGGGCGAAACCCUGAUCCAGCCAUGCCGCGUGAGUGAUGAAGGCCUUAGGGUUGUAAAGCUCUUUUGGCCGGGAAGAUAAUGACGGUACCCGGAGAAGAAGCCCCGGCUAACUUAGUGCCAGCAGCCGCGGUAAUUA
rnacentral:rRNA from 1 species